AAUAUCCAAACAUGUCAAUACCAAAUAUAAUUUUAUAUACAGAUUUAACCUCGAAGAACAAUCUGCUUUAAUAUUAUAAAAAAUCAUUCUUAGCUCACUCCAAUGCUAUAAUAGAUCCAUGCACAAACUCUACUCUAAUAAUUACCAACAAAACCAAAAGUACUAUUACAUCUGCACCCAUAUCAUGUUUGAACUUUCAGAUCACUUACACAACAUCUAAACAUGAUAUAACUAAUAUGCCAAGGCUAACCUUCCUAUACAUGCCUUAGGUCUACCCUCUCUUAUCAUAAUCAAAGACAAUUUAUACUUUCCUUCCACACUCAUCGAAAACCAAAUCCGAUGCAUACAUUUUAUCACAAUGCCCAGUGAUCUCACACCUUAAGCACUGAAUUUAAUUAUCAUGUCCCAAAUGAUCAUAACCUUAAGCUAUGAUAUAUUUCUGUCACGAUCCCUAGUGAUCUUAAACAUAUGCUCAGAUUCCAACUGGUCACAUUUUCCAAUAAGCUUAAACCUCAAACUUUAAUGCCACUAAGGCCACAGUCCCUAUUGGUCUUAAACCUUAGAUUAUAAUAUCAUUCUUGUUACAAUCUCAAGUGAUUAUAAACCAAAUCUCUGAUAGUUUUUCUAUCAUAAUUCUCCACUGAUACUCACCUAAACAUAAACCCUAGGAUACCUUAACCUUAAGCUCUGAUACCACUAAAUCUGUCACGCCCCGAAUCCGAACCUAGGCCCGGGACGCGCCAGACGCCGCACACCCGCAUGGCGGACCGCACGGGCGUGCAAGGCUGAAUAAUCAGACACUCAAGUCACAACAUCAGAUCACAAUAUUAAUACUAAAAAUCUAUCAUUUAUGAUAAUCAAAUCAAUAAUUCAAUUUCAAAUGUCUCAAAUAAAGUUGAUAACAUUUAUUUACAAGAUCAAUUACUUAUGACAAAAUGAAUCUAAAUCUAUCUAUGUCUAGUGUCAUAAGUCCUCUCCUCCCGAAUCCCCCAUCAAUCAUCUCCUGCAAUUAUGUCAAAAACAGGUAUGAGCUACAACAGCUCAGUAGGUAACAACAUGCAUAAAGUCACGAUAACAUGUAUUAAAGCAUAUGCAAUGUAACUACAGGUCAUGUGCACAAAAUAAAUAUGAUGAUCCGCAAACCAAUCCGAUACUCAAGUAAUAUAUAUAUACCAUCUCAGUCUAUCAUAUCACGCAUAACAUAAUCCACAGAUCAAACCGCAUGACUAUGGCCACAUCACCCAGUGGCAUGGUCACACCGAAGUGUCAACACUCUGCUCCUAAUGGAGCCCUGCACCGCAGUGCUGCACCCCAGGGUGCCCAAUCUCUGCUCCUCAGAGCAUGCUCCGCAGAGCCAAAACACCCCAUAGUGCCGGAACUAGUUCCUCAUACAAGUCGACAGGGCCAACGUUUUCACCCCAUUGGCGGGAAUCCUNN
rnacentral:lncRNA from 1 species